GCAGCCGCGGUAAUACGGAGGAUGCGAGCGUUAUCCGGAUUUAUUGGGUUUAAAGGGUGCGUAGGUGGCUUUUUAAGUCAGUGGUGAAAGUUUGUGGCUCAACCAUAAAAUUGCCAUUGAAACUGGGGAGCUUGAGUGUGUUUGAGGUAGGCGGAAUGCGUGGUGUAGCGGUGAAAUGCAUAGAUAUCACGCAGAACUCCAAUUGCGAAGGCAGCUUACUAAGCCAUAACUGACACUGAAGCACGAAAGCGUGGGGAUCAAACAGGAUUAGAUACCCC
rnacentral:rRNA from 1 species